rnacentral:rRNA from 1 species
AGCAGCCGCGGUAAUUCCAGCUCCAAUAGCGUAUAUUAAAGUUGUUGCAGUUAAAAAGCUCGUAGUUGAAUUUCGGGGGUCAGUAGGUUGGUCAUGCCUCUGGUAUGUACUGGUCUCACUGGUUCCUCCUUCCUGAUGAACCGUAAUGCCAUUAAUUUGGUGUUGCGGGGGAGACUGGACUGUUACUUUGAAAAAAAUUAGAGUGUUUAAAGCAGGCUUACGCUUGAAUACAUUAGCAUGGAAUAAUGAAAUAGGACGUUCGAUCCUAUUUUGUUGGUUUCUAGGAUUGACGUAAUGAUUAAUAGGGAUAGUUGGGGGCAUUAGUAUUCAAUUGUCAGAGGUGAAAUUCUUGGAUUUAUUGAAGACUAACUACUGCGAAAAGCAUUUGCCAAGGAUGUUUUCAUUAAUCAAAGAACGAAAGUUAGGGGAUCGAAGACGAUCAGAUACCGUCGUAGUCUUAACCAUAAACUAUAGCCGACUAGGGAUCGGAUGAUGUUUAAUUUUUAAUGUACUCAUUCGG